AUUGAACGCUGGCGGCAGGCCUAACACAUGCAAGUCGAACGAGUGGCGGACGGGUGAGUAAUGUCUGGGAAACUGCCUGAUGGAGGGGGAUAACUACUGGAAACGGUAGCUAAUACCGCAUACCAUCAGAUGUGCCCAGAUGGGAUUAGCUAGUUGGUGGGGUAACGGAUCAACAAGGCGACGCUCCCUAGCUGGUCUGAGAGGAUGACCAGCCACACUGGAAAGGAGACACGGUCCAGACUCCUGCGUGAGGCAGCAGUGGGAAAUAUUGCACAAUGGGGGAAAGCCUGAUGCAGCAAUGCCGGGUGUAUGAAGAAGGCCUUCGGGUUGUAAAGUACUUAAAGCGGGGAGGCGUUACCCGCAGAAGAAGCACCGGCUAACUCCGUGCCAGCAGCCGCGGUAAUAC
rnacentral:rRNA from 1 species